rnacentral:misc_RNA from 1 species
UCAGAGCUGGUGGAGCUACAG